GACGAACGCUGGCGGCGUGCUUAACACAUGCGAGUCGAACGGAAAGGCCCUGCUUUUGUGGGGUGCUCGAGUGGCGAACGGGUGAGUAACACGUGAGUAACCUGCCCUUGACUUUGGGAUAACUUCAGGAAACUGGGGCUAAUACCGGAUAGGAGCUCCUGCUGCAUGGUGGGGGUUGGAAAGUUUCGGCGGUUGGGGAUGGACUCGCGGCUUAUCCGCUUGUUGGUGGGGUAGUGGCUUACCAAGGCUUUGACGGGUAGCCGGCCUGGGAGGGUGACCGGCCACAUUGGGACUGCGAUACGGCCCAGAAUCCUACGGGAGGCAGCAGUGGGGAAUAUUGCACAAUGGGCGGAAGCCUGAUGCAGCAACGCCGCGUGCGGGAUGACGGCCUUCGGGUUGUAAACCGCUUUCGCCUGUGACGAAGCGUGAGUGACGGUAAUGGGUAAAGAAGCACCGGCUAACUACGUG
rnacentral:rRNA from 1 species